GACGAACGCUGGCGGCGUGCCUAAUACAUGCAAGUUGAGCGCUGAAGGUUGGUACUUGUACCAACUGGAUGAGCAGCGAACGGGUGAGUAACGCGUGGGGAAUCUGCCUUUGAGCGGGGGACAACAUUUGGAAACGAAUGCUAAUACCGCAUAAAAACUUUAAACACAAGGUUUAAGUUUGAAAGAUGCAAUUGCAUCACUCAAAGAUGAUCCCGCGUUGUAUUAGCUAGUUGGUGAGGUAAAGGCUCACCAAGGCGAUGAUACAUAGCCGACCUGAGAGGGUGAUCGGCCACAUUGGGACUGAGACACGGCCCAAACUCCUACGGGAGGCAGCAGUAGGGAAUCUUCGGCAAUGGACGAAAGUCUGACCGAGCAACGCCGCGUGAGUGAAGAAGGUUUUCGGAUCGUAAAACUCUGUUGGUAGAGAAGAACGUUGGUGAGAGUGGAAAGCUCAUCAAGUGACGGUAACUACCCAGAAAGGGACGGCUAACUACGU
rnacentral:rRNA from 1 species